rnacentral:rRNA from 1 species
UCGAGAAUUUUUCACAAUGGGCGCAAGCCUGAUGGAGCGACGCCGCGUGGGGGAUGAAGGGUUUCGAUCCGUAAACCCCUGUCAUUUGCGAACAAACCUUGAUUGUGAAUAGCGAUCGAGCUGAUUGUAGCGGAAGAGGAAGGGACGGCUAACUCUGUGCCAGCAGCCGCGGUAAUACAGAGGUCCCAAGCGUUGUUCGGAUUCACUGGGCGUAAAGGGUGCGUAGGUGGUCGGUGAAGUUCGG